rnacentral:rRNA from 1 species
UACGAAGGGUGCAAACGUUGCUCGGAAUUAUUGGGCGUAAAGGGCGCGUAGGCGGUCUGUUGCGUCCGCUGUGAAAACUCGGGGCUUAACCCCGAGCCUGCAGUGGAUACGGGCAGACUAGAGGUAGGUAGGGGAGAAUGGAAUUCCCGGUGUAGCGGUGAAAUGCGCAGAUAUCGGGAGGAACACCGGUGGCGAAGGCGGUUCUCUGGGCCUUACCCGUGGCGUCUGAGGAGCGAAAGCGUG